GGGUCAGUAGGUCGGUCGUGCCACUGGUAUGAACUGGUUUUACUGAUUCCUCCCUCUUGAAGAACUGUAGUGCCAUUAGUUUGGUGUUGCAGGGAAUCAGGACUGUUACUUUUUGAAAAAAUUAGAGUGUUUAAAGCAGGCUUUAGCUUGAAUACAUUAGCAUGAAUAAUGAAAUAGGACGUUUGAUCCUAUUUUGUUGGUUUCUAGGAUUGACGUAAUGAU
rnacentral:rRNA from 1 species